rnacentral:misc_RNA from 1 species
CCAACGUUGUUGAAUCUGGUA